rnacentral:lncRNA from 1 species
CACAGUAUCCCGAUGUCGAUGAGAGUGUGUUCCCUGCAUUUUCAUUCUGAGACCAUCCAGAGAACUCGUUGCUUCGGUUUGAUUGGUGAGUAAAAGCAAAUCUGAACUCCGUUACUCAGAUGCCUGUGUCUGGCAAUGUAUAUAACUAGCAGUGUUAGCCUUUAGUCAACAUUAAGGCGAGUAUAAGGUGAAUAG